GUGAAUAGGGUUUGAUCCGAGUUUGAGUGAAUAGGUUUUGGUUAGGGUCUGAACCUGAGUCAGAAAUUUGGGUUAGCCUGAUGUGAGUAUAAUCUGGUUCGCCAAGAUUUGAUCUAAUCUGGUCUGGUCAGACCUGGUUUGGGUUGGGCUAGGGACCUGUUUUUGGGCUGAGUUGGGUCUGAUUGGAUUUGUGGGCUGGUUUGGUUUAGGCCCGAAAUCUGAUCCGGACCUGUUAUCCGGUUUGGUUCAAUUGGGCCUAAUCUGUUUGGGCCACAAUUGACUUGGGUUUAAAAGAUCCUGAUUUUAGGGUCUAUGUUUGAUCUUAGGGGCCCAUUCUUAGAUCCAUGAACUUAGAAAUUUAAGAGAUUGGGAAUAGUUUAAAUUAUGUUUCUUAGUUAAUUAAAUAAUUAAUGUUUGUGUUUUAAUCAGGGGUUCGUGAUAUCAGUGGCAGGGAUUUUUAAGCGAACCCAGGUAGGUAACCUUGCUUAAAGUAUGAUUUACAUGUACUAUGCAUAUGUGUGAUUAUUUCCAGCAUAUUGAUAUGUUUUAUAUUCUUGGCAGUAUUAUUAUUUAGAAGCAUGUUUUUGACUGUAAAUCGAUCAUCU
rnacentral:lncRNA from 1 species